AUGAUGGACUACAGAUCAGGGCUGCUGUUUUCUAUCAUCUGCUUUACAGGUGUUAAUAGUCAGACUCUGAGAGAAUCUGAACCAGUGGUUAAAAGACCAGGAGAGUCUCACAGACUGACCUGUACAGCCUCUGGAUUCACAUUCAUCAGCUACUACAUGGCCUGGAUCAGACAGGCUCCUGGGAAGGGACUGGAAUGGGUAUCCAUGCUCGAUAGUGGCAGUGGUAGUACCAAAUGGUAUUCUCAGUCAGUCCAAGGCCGGUUUACCAUCUCCAGAGACAACAGCAAACAGCAGGUGUAUCUGCAGAUGAACAGCCUGAGAACAGAAGAUUCUGCUGUUUAUUAUUGUGCUCGAAGGGCACAGUGACUGAAGUCAGUUCAGCAGCUGUACAAAAACCUCAAACUCUGAUCUGUUGUUCUGAAUUUUACCUUUUUUUUAUGAGAACUAAUUUCACUGAAUAUUUU